GAGACACCAACUGCAUGCACAAUUGGAAUCGCGUUUCAACAGACGUGAAGCAAAGCCAAAGGUGAGCCACUUUCUUGACACAUCCAAAAGAAAUUUUGAGGAAUGUCAAAAGGAGUGACUGGCGGUCCUUCCUGGGUGCCACGACUCACUGGUCCGGGAAUCAGGCAGUGGAAAUGGGAGAUACACCACUCACCAUCACCCCUAGUGAGCCACUGGCAACAUUUUUGCUUCCUGUUCCCACAACUUUAUGCCCUGCUAGCCUAAAUGUCUUAGCUCCAGAGGGAAGAAUGCUUCCACCAGGAGAUGCAACAAUGAUUCCAUAAUUUCUACAACUUCCACAACUUCCAACUGGAAAUGAAGACUGUCAUCCAGCCAUUGUGGGCUCUUCGUGUCUCUGAGUCAACAGGCCAAGAAGAGAAUGAUAUUGCUGGCUGGGGUGAUUGAUCUUGACUAUCAAAGGGAAAUUGGAUUGCUGCUCCACAAUGGAAGUAAGGAAGAGUAUGUCUAGAACAUAGGAAAUUCCUUAGGGCGUCUCUUAGUAUUACUAUGCCUUGUGAUUAAGCUCAAUGGAAAAUUCAGGAAUGAAGGUUUGGGUCACUGCACCAGGUAAAAACUCAUAACCACCUGAGGGGCUUGCUGAAGGCAAAGGGAAUACAGAAUGCGUCGGUGGAAUAAAGUGGUUAUAGAUACUUACUGUGGCCAUGUGACCAGUUACAGAAACCAGGACUGUAACUGUUAUGAGUACUUUCUCCCUGUUUUGUUAAGAAUACAUUUGUGUGUAUGCAAAGUAAGCAAAUAUCUUUUUUUCUUUCCUCUCUUAUUCCCUUAUCCUGUAACACACAAUACAUUGACUUUAUAUGAAUACUUAAGUAUUGUCAAUCUUACAUUAUAGUAUUUAAAUUAUGAGAUAUCAAGGAGAAGAGUAAACAUCACCGAAGGCCCUUGCCUUCUCUUGUGGGGAAGGGAUUAGUGAGUUUUGGGUUGUAUGCAAGAUAGGCAGAUAGCAUGACAUUGGUAUUGUCUUUAUUUGAAGAUUAGCAUAGUUUAAGAAGAUGCCUUUUGGUGUUAAGUUGACAAGAAGUGGACUUAUGAUGGUUAAUUUUAUGUGUCAACUUGCCUGGGCUAAGGAAUGCCCAGAUAGCUGGUAAAACGUUGUUUCUGUGUGUGUCUGUUAGGGCAUUUUGUGAAGAGAUGAGCAUUUCCAUCAGUAGACUAAGAAGAUCCACUCUCACCAAUGUGGGUAGGCACCAUCCAAUCUGCUGAGGGCCUGGAUAGAGCCAAAGGGCAGAAGAAGGGCAAAUCCGCUCUCUCUGCUUGAGCUGAUAUAUCCAUCUUCUGCCCUCGGACACUGGUGCUUCUGGUUCUAGAGCCUUUGGAUUCUAACUGGGACUCACACCAUCAGCUCGUCCGGUUAUCAGGCCUUUGGACUAAGACUGAGUUACACCACCAGCCUUCCUGGGUCUCCAACCUGCAGAUGGCAGAUCAUGGGACUUCUCCACCUCCAUAAACAUAUGAGCCAAUUCCUAUAAUGUCUCACAUAUCUAUAUAUGUCCUAUUGGUUCUGAUUCUAGAGCAGAAGACACACAACCUUCUAGAUCUGUAGGGCUCCUUAUGAAUCAUGAGAUCCCCAGAACAGCUGCAAAAUUAAACAAAUUCAGCGAAACAAAAAUUAGCUGUUUUGCAGAUAAUUACUGCUUUUACCUUUAACUUUCAGUUUUGUCAUGAUGUAGACAUCACUGG
rnacentral:lncRNA from 10 species